rnacentral:lncRNA from 1 species
AUGGUGCCCAGUGCAUCAAGCAACAGCUGGUACCAUGUAAACACCUUAGCAAGUUGCUGCACUUGUCCAGUUGGUGUGACCGGUGCUCCAUGCAAGCACCAAAGCGCAGUUAUGCAGACAUUUAACGUCACAGAGGCAGUCCCUGUAACCACCACAUCUCUUCUGAGGCGGCUUUUCCAUGGAAUCGCCUCUGGGGGUAGCACUCCAGAGGACUGGUUUGAGACACUGGCUUAUGAAAAGGCUGUGGUGGACGACCCCCUGUCCCAUCUAGCUGAGGAAGCAGGAGCAAGCACAUCAGAGGAAGUUGAGGAGACAGCAUUCCUGGAGAAGCAGCUUGAAGACAUUGUUGGGCUCCUGAAGCGCAAGCUGCGUGAGGAUACAACCUUCACUGCUCCAGUGAAAUCCUUUGUGGACACAUUUGGGAAGCUCCACACUGACAGUGCUGUACAGUCAGCAUUGUUUUCCUUCGGGAAAAACGAUCGAGGGCAGUCUAGUGUUCGUGCAAGGCCGAGGGGCUUCCUUCAAACGAGUGCCACUAUAGGUGUCCAACCGACAGCGGUGUCCCGGAGAAAGGCAGCUUUGGGUGGUAGGAGAACCCUUGGAGCUGGCAGACCCCCAAAGAGCUCAAGAAAGGAACAUGGGUACUCCAGACAAGGCAGACCAAAGGGUGUACCACACAACCUGUGA